CAGCAGAGCAACGUGGUUAAAAGGCAGCUGUCUUGAGUCUUAAUACGAAGACCCUUGAAAAUGGAAUUCUCAGGAAAGAAGGGAGUGCUUAUUCUGCCUCUUGAAGGAAAGUAAAGAGAAACUCAACUGAGAUAUCUAACAGAUCUGUUUUGGAGACCCAGUGAUUCAGACAGUGAUGCACCUACAGGGCGUAUCAGCGGAUGAUUUCUUUCCACGAGGGCUGUGGCAUCACUGAGUGAAGCUCAAUAAAAUAGGACCAGCAACAAAAUCAGGAACAUAAAUGUGACUCUAUAGCAAUUUUUUUUUGCUAUUAGAGGCAACUCUACUAUUGUGAUGAAAACAUUUAGAGUUGUGAAAGUCUGCGCUGGAGUCUCAGCUCCGAUACUAACUUGUUGAGUAAUUUUGAGCAAGUCUUUUAAUAUCUGUUUCUCUCUCUCUCUCUCUCUCUCUCUCUUUUUUUUUUUUUUUGGUCUGCAAAAUGAGCAUAAUAUUUACUCUAAUCAAAAGCUAUCAGAAUUUAAAAAGGAUCAUAUAUGUAAAGUGCUUUAAAAACAGUAAAAUGCUAUAGAAAAAAAAGCUAUUAUAAAGCUAAUGGACCACUAAAAUGACAGAACCUAGUACAGAUUAGAUUUUCUUACAAGGGGGGUCUAUUUCCAAUGGGUCAUUGGUGCAAGGAGCAUGCCUUUAAAUCCGUAAAUUAUUAUCUUCCUGGAAAAUCAGGAGAACCUAAAACAAGGAGAGAAAAGGAGGCCUGAAGCUAUAGGUAUAUCAAAAUUUAAAGAAUGUGUCAAGUGUGAAUGCUAGUCUACGUGGUGGAAUUCAAGUAUCUAUACACUGUAGGGGGGCAGGGAGCUUAAAGAUAAAGCUUUCCUAUGUCUCCUGGAAUGUGGACCCUUUGUUGGGGAUUCUCGAGGUGAAGCAUUCCAUAGGAAGUAUUUGUUUAAUUAAUCGUAGCCAGAACGUAGCUGGGGGUAGGCCAGAUUCCAUCGUGUAAUGUUAUUGCUCCUCCAACCAAGAUACGUGCAUACUUUAAGCCAAGGGCAAACCCACAAGAUUUGAACUCCUAACCUUUAAAACACAAGGCGGCUACUUUGGCCACCAGGCACCCCAGUUCUUGUUUACCAGGACUGGGAGUUCUCAUCAGACAGAGCCCCAUUUAUUCCAUGACCCUAGCAGAGCAACUCAAAGGAAUAUCCAUUUUAAAAUCGUAUCUGUGGCACCGAAAGGAUUCUGGAGCUCUGAAUCAGCCCCUUACCUCAUGGCAAAAUUUACAGGCUUGCAGAGUUAAAUGAAAAUCAGAUUGGAAUGUACGGGCUUCUAUUUUUCUGUAAUGACAUGUUGUGAGGAAAGGGAAGGCAAUUUUCUUGGAGAUUCCUCUAAAGCCAGUGCACUUGCGGUGGUUGUUUUGGUUUACAGAACUAUCUGAAACAGACCCAGGGCCCACUGCCCUCUCCGGGUGCAGGGCUCUGGACCACACAGGCCACUUGUUCAAGGAUUGUAAUUAAGAUCAGUAAUCAUGCCCUUCACUGGGCACGGGUUAGCUCUUCUGUAAGCACUCAGAAAGUCAACUUUAGUACCUCAUGCUUUCUCUGAAGUAAUUCGAUGACAAUAUAAGAAAAUCAGUUCUCUAAAAUGCAGUCUUAGACUUUGGCUCCACUAUGAGUUGAAAGAAUUUUGUGAGGAAAGAAAGGAAAAAAAGGAAAGACAUGUGUCUGUUUCUCACAUCUGACUGUGAAAAAUCCAUUUACUAUAACCUGAAAAGGAAAAAUAAACACAGUCCAUGAAAUUCUGCGGCAAAAAGGAAUGAAAAUGUUCUUUAAAAAAAAAAUUAAGAAAGAAAGAAAAAGAAACGAAACUGUAUUCUCUGCAGGUUUAGCGGCAACCUUUGCCAAAAUGUGCUUUCUGGAAACUUUCCUCUAGACCUGGCUCCCACCAGCAGGCUUGGCUGCAGGAGGAAGGCUUGGAAGACUGUGGUUUGGAAUGUGUGAAUGUCAAAGUCAGACGUUGUUCCCUUUUCUUUAUAACAACAACAAGCCUUUGGUUUUGGCUACAUACGUACUGGGUUUUCCAGUACUGACUUGUUUCUUUUCUUGUUACAGGUUAGAACUAUUGAGGGGCUCUUGGUAUUUUCAGCUUCUUUUUGUUUUAACCACCACUUUCCGCUUCCUCACAAUGCCCUUGAGAAGCUAACAGGCACUGUUUGCAGGCCGAAAUGGAGAAAGGACUGAAUGAGUAUGAAAUGGUUCGUGGGAAGCCACACAACAAGUUGGAAGGAGCUUCUGAAUUAGAGCUUACGAUUUCCUUGGCCUCGUAGGUCUGUAAACCUGGUCCAUGUAGCUAAGUUUUUCUGACAUUGAGGCCCACAGGUACAUGUUGAUCCACAGACAGAAGGUGAGACUUCAAACAGGUCAUCAGCACUCUGCAGAGUGACUAGACGUGGAAUGUUUUAAUACAAGAAUUGUCACCUGCUGGGCAGACUUUUAGCUUAAAAUUGUUUUUCCAUGGAUUAUUCUAAUCGCUAACAUAAUUCAGAUGGAAGAAGGGCAAUAUUGAAUAAUCCCAGCUAUGAAAAGAUUUGCUCAAUAAACAACAAAUAUAAAGUAGAUUAUAGGGACAAUGUCUCAUGUCAUAUAUCAUAUAUCACACACUUAAGAGUAAGACACAGGAAAUAACAGAAUCAAUCAUAACUGAAUUGCAGGGAGCUAUGCUUUUCAGCAAGCACCACUAUACAAUAAUCAUUGAUCCUGCUACUUCUGUGUCUUUUUCUUAAGUAUGUGGCGUACAACAUAUGAAUGACACAUAGUAGUCAUCUCAAAAAGAGACAUAGGUAGUCUGUGUAACCUACAGUAUUACACAGCAGUUGUUGCAACUGAAAAAGCUGUUCCCAGGAAAAGGGUACCUGCUGAAGUCAUUUUCACUGGAUCUUGAAGGUCAGCAGAACUCAUCAUGUGUCAGAGUUAUGCAGAAACAGAUGAAGCAAUGUGCAUAACUUGAACCAGAAAGCAUGUUGAAGAGUCUACUUGAAGGAGCAACAGUGGACUGAGAGACUGAGAAUUUUCUGUAAUUAGUAUAAAAUGCUUCCUGAUACCAGGGAGAUUUAUUAAUAGAGGAGGGCAUGGGAUGUGGGACAAUGUGGGACACAGGAAAGAACCUGUAGAUGAGAAAGAAUCAGGGACAAUGGAAUAAUCAGGAAAAAAGCAGACCAGGGCAGAGAAAUUUCCCUUGGCCACACUUGACUAAAACGAAAACCAGAGCCACACCAUCUAUGAUUUAUAGCUUAUUGCAUGCAUACGUUUGUCUAAGUUAACUGUUGGUAAUUGUAUUAUGAUGUUAGUGCUUUUUAUGUUCUUUCUGCGGAUUUCAUAAAAUCAGAUUAAAACCGUCUCUUCUUGUAUUA